UCCUACGGGAGGCAGCAGUGAGGAAUAUUGGUCAAUGGACGAGAGUCUGAACCAGCCAUCCCGCGUGCAGGAUGACGGCCCUAUGGGUUGUAAACUGCUUUUCUACGCCAAGAAAUCUAGCUACGAGUAGUUAGUUGACGGUAGCGUAGGAAUAAGCAUCGGCUAACUCCGUGCCAGCAGCCGCGGUAAUACGGAGGAUGCAAGCGUUAUCCGGAUUCAUUGGGUUUAAAGGGUGCGCAGGUGGGGAUGUAAGUCAGUGGUGAAAUACUGCCGCUUAACGGUAGAACUGCCAUUGAUACUGCAUCUCUUGAGUAUGGUUGAGGUAGGCGGAAUGUGUUGUGUAGCGGUGAAAUGCAUAGAUAUGACACAGAACGCCGAUUGCGAAGGCAGCUUACUAAGCCAUUACUGACGCUGAGGCACGAAAGCGUGGGGAGCGAACAGGAUUAGAUACCCUGGUAGUCCACGCCGUAAACGAUGUUCACUCGCUGUCUGCGAUACACAGUAGGCGGCUGAGCGAAAGCAUUAAGUGAACCACCUGGGGAGUACGAUCGCAAGGUUGAAACUCAAAUGAAUUGACGGA
rnacentral:rRNA from 1 species